GACGGAGGGCGCAAGCGUUGUUCGGAAUUACUGGGCGUAAAGCGCGAGCAGGCGGUUCGUUAAGUCCCCUGUGAAAUCCCGGGGCUCAACUCCGGAGUUGCAGGGGAUACUGGCGGACUGGAGACCGGUAGAGGCAAGCGGAAUUCCUGGUGUAGCGGUGGAAUGCGUAGAGAUCAGGAAGAACACCUGUGGCGAAGGCGGCUUGCUGGGCCGGUGCUGACGCUGAACCGCGAAAGAGUGGGGAGCGAACAGG
rnacentral:rRNA from 1 species